UCCAAAGAUAAGCCGCCCUCUGGUGAUACU
rnacentral:piRNA from 1 species